rnacentral:rRNA from 1 species
CCUACGGGAGGCAGCAGUGGGGACUAUUGCACAAUGGGCGAAAGCCUGAUGCAGCGACGCCGCGUGAGGGAUGACGGCCUUCGGGUUGUAAACCUCUUUCAGCAGGGAAGAAGCGCAAGUGACGGUACCUGCAGAAGCAGCACCGGCUAACUACGUGCCAGCAGCCGCGGUAAUACGUAGGGUGCGCGCGUUGUCCGGAAUUAUUGGGCGUAAAGAGCUCGUAGGCGGCUUGUCACGUCGGAUGUGAAAGCCCGGGGAUUAACCCCGGUUCUGCAUUCGAUACGGGCAGGCUAGAGUUCGGUAGGGGAGAUCGGAAUUCCUGGUGUAGCGGUGAAAUGCGCAGAUAUCAGGAGGAACACCGGUGGCGAAGGCGGAUCUCUGGGCCGAUACUGACGCUGAGGAGCGAAAGCAUGGGGAGCGAACAGGAUUAGAUACCCUUGUAGUC